rnacentral:rRNA from 1 species
ACGUUACCCAAAGAAUAAGCACCGGCUAACUCUGUGCCAGCAGCCGCGGUAAUACAGAGGGUGCAAGCGUUAAUCGGAAUGACUGGGCGUAAAGGGCACGUAGGCGGAUAGAUGUGUCAUAGGUGAAAUCCCCGGGCUCAACCUGGGAACUGCCUGUGAAACUGUGUAUCUAGAAUAGAGUAGAGGUAAGUGGAAUUUCCGGUGUAGCGGUGAAAUGCGUAGAUAUCGGAAAGAACACCAGUGGCGAAGGCGACUUACUGGACUCAUAUUGACGCUGAGGUGCGAAAGCGUGGGGAGCAAACGGGAUUAGAUACCCCGGUAGUCCACGCUGUAAACGAUGAGAACUAGAUGCUUGUUGACUAAGGUUAAUGAGUAUUGAAGCAAACGCGUUAAGUUCUCCGCCUGGGGAGUACGGCCGCAAGGUUAAAACUCAAAGGAAUUGACGGGGGCCCGCACAAGCGGUGGAGCAUGUGGUUUAAUUCGAUGCAACGCGAAAAACCUUACCUACCCUUGACAUGCCAGGAAUCCUGAAGAGAUUUGGGAGUGCCCGCGA